AGCUUAGACCAGAUGCUAAGCCUUGCACCACAGGUGUCUUUACGCUUUCUGUGCCUCUUGUGUCGAAAAGUGAAAGAAUUCUAGGCGUGCUUAGAGGAAGUUAGGUAAACAUUCUGGGAGUUCUAAAAUACGCUUCCUAGAGGGCAAAGAAUGUGACUGCACGGGUUGGCUGUGUGUAAAGAGAAGGAGCUUCUAACCAUGACCCAAUGACAUCAUCAAGAUCCACCGGAGGGGACAGAGACAUGAACAUGGAGGUUGGCAAAGGGCGUGGUCUGUCCAGAUCAGAAGAGCAC